rnacentral:rRNA from 1 species
AGGGCAGACGGUGGAUGCCUUGGCUCUCGGAGGCGACGAAGGACGUGAUAAGCUGCGAAAAGCCCGGGGGAGGCGCAAAUAGCCGUUGAUCCCGGGAUAUCCGAAUGGGGCAACCCGGCAGGCUGAAGGCCUGUCAUCCCGAAAGGGAGGCGAACGUGGGGAACUGAAACAUCUAAGUACCCAUAGGAGGAGAAAAUAAACAAUGAUUCCGUAAGUAGUGGCGAGCGAACACGGAAGAGCCCAAACCCAUGUCGUCUAGGCGACACGGGGGUUGUAGGACCACGACGUGGCAAGAUAGAGUCAAGUGGAACGCCUUGGAAAAGGCGGUCAUAGAGGGUGAAAACCCCGUACACGACUGACGAUUGAAGCCUAGUGGCAUCCUGAGUAGCGCGGGGCACGAGAAAUCUUGCGUGAAUUAGCGGGGCCCAUCCCGUAAGGCUAAAUACUCCCGAGAGACCGAUAGCGAACCAGUACCGUGAGGGAAAGGUGAAAAGCACUUCGAACAGAAGAGUGAAAUAGUUCCUGAAACCGUGCGCCUACAAGCGGUCGGAGCUCGUUAAUGAGUGACGGCGUGCCUUUUGCAUAAUGAACCUACGAGUUGCCUUUGCCGGCAAGGUUAAGUGUGACGACACACGUAUCCGAAGCGAAAGCGAGUCUGAACAGGGCGUAUAGUCGGCAGUGGCAGACGCGAAACCAAGUGAUCUACCCUUGGCCAGGUUGAAGGCUGGGUAACACCAGCUGGAGGACCGCACCAAUAAGCGUUGAAAAGCUUCUGGAUGAGCUGAGGGUAGGGGUGAAAGGCUAAUCAAACUUGGAGAUAGCUCGUACUCCCCGAAAUGCAUUUAGGUGCAGCCUUGCGGGUUACUGAUGUGAGGUAGAGCGACUGAUAAGAUGCGAGGGCUUCACCGCCUAUCAAGUCUUGACAAACUCCGAAUGCGCAUCAGUUCUACCGCAGGAGUGAGGGCAUGGGUGCUAAGGUCCGUGCCCGAGAGGAGAAGAAUCCGGACCACCUGCUAAGGUCCCGAAAUGACAGCUAAGUUAAACUAACGAAGUCUGACUGCUAAGACAGCUAGGAUGUUGGCUUGGAAGCAGCCAUUCAUUUAAAGAGUGCGUAACAGCUCACUAGUCGAGGAGUUUGGCGUGGAUAAUAAUCGGGCAUCAAGCAAUUUACCGAAGCUAUGGGAUCAGUAAUGAUCGGUAGGGGAGCAUUCCACUCUGCGUCGAAGGUGAAGCGUGAGCUUUGCUGGAGCGUGUGGAAAAGCAAAUGUAGGUAUAAGUAACGAUAAAGGGGGUGAGAAACCCCCUCGCCGAAAGACUAAGGUUUCCUGAUCAACGCUAAUCGGAUCAGGGUCAGUCGGGUCCUAAGGCUCAGCCGAACGGCGAUGCCGAUGGCAGAAACGGUUAAUAUUCCGUUACUACCUUCAGGAGUGACGUGGAGACGCAGUAGUGACAGUGCCGCCAUCUGACGGAAUAGAUGGUUGAAGGGUGUAGGAGUCGAUCAUGGCAGGCAAAUCCACCAUGAGAUCCGAACCUGACAGUAUGCCGCGUCCUUCGGGACAAGGCAAUAGUGCGCGUAAGCAUGCUGCCGAGAAAAUCCGCUAAACUUAAUCCUGCAGGUACCCGUACCGCAAACGGACACACGUAGUCGGGUUGAAUAUACUAAGGCGCUUGAGUGAUUCACGGUUAAGGAACUAGGCAAAUUGACCCUGUAACUUCGGGAUAAAGGGUCCUCGUCGUAAGGCGAGGCGCAGAGAAUAGGUCCAGGCAACUGUUUAACAAAAACACAUGGCUGUGCUAAAUGGAAACAUGAUGUAUACAGCCUGACACCUGCCCGGUGCCGGAAGGUUAAGAGGAGAUGUCAUCCGCGAGGAGAAGCGUUGAAUUGAAGCCCCGGUAAACGGCGGCCGUAACUAUAACGGUCCUAAGGUAGCGAAAUUCCUUGUCGGGUAAGUUCCGACCUGCACGAAUGGUGUAAUGAUCUGGACGCUGUCUCAACCGUGAGCUCAGUGAAAUUGUAGUAUCGGUGAAGAUGCCGAUUACCCGCGAUGGGACGAAAAGACCCCGUGAACCUUUACUAUAGCUUAACAUUGAAUUUGGGUAAUUGAUGUGUAGGAUAGGCCGGAGACUUUGAAGCAG